CAGUCGCCGCGGGAAUACGUAGGGCGCAAGCGUUGUCCGGAAUUAUUGGGCGUAAAGAGCUCGUAGGCGGUCUGUCGCGUCUGGUGUGAAAUCCCGAGGCUCAACCUCGGGCUUGCAUCGGGUACGGGCAGACUAGAGUGCGGUAGGGGAGACUGGAAUUCCUGGUGUAGCGGUGGAAUGCGCAGAUAUCAGGAGGAACACCGAUGGCGAAGGCAGGUCUCUGGGCCGCAACUGACGCUGAGGAGCGAAAGCAUGGGGAGCGAACAGGAUUAGAUACCCCGGUAGUCCCUGUCUCUUAUAC
rnacentral:rRNA from 1 species